rnacentral:rRNA from 1 species
GGUUAAGCGACUAAGCGUACACGGUGGAUGCCCUGGCAGUCAGAGGCGAUGAAGGACGUGCUAAUCUGCGAAAAGCGUCGGUAAGGUGAUAUGAACCGUUAUAACCGGCGAUGUCCGAAUGGGGAAACCCAGUGUGUUUCGACACACUAUCAUUAACUGAAUCCAUAGGUUAAUGAGGCGAACCGGGGGAACUGAAACAUCUAAGUACCCCGAGGAAAAGAAAUCAACCGAGAUUCCCCCAGUAGCGGCGAGCGAACGGGGAGGAGCCCAGAGCCUGAAUCAGUGUGUGUGUUAGUGGAAGCGUCUGGAAAGGCGCGCGAUACAGGGUGACAGCCCCGUACACAAAAAUGCACAUGCUGUGAGCUCGAUGAGUAGGGCGGGACACGUGGUAUCCUGUCUGAAUAUGGGGGGACCAUCCUCCAAGGCUAAAUACUCCUGACUGACCGAUAGUGAACCAGUACCGUGAGGGAAAGGCGAAAAGAACCCCGGCGAGGGGAGUGAAAAAGAACCUGAAACCGUGUACGUACAAGCAGUGGGAGCCCUGAUUUAUCAGGGUGACUGCGUACCUUUUGUAUAAUGGGUCAGCGACUUAUAUUCUGUAGCAAGGUUAACCGAAUAGGGGAGCCGGAGGGAAACCGAGUCUUAACUGGGCGUUAAGUUGCAGGGUAUAGACCCGAAACCCGGUGAUCUAGCCAUGGGCAGGUUGAAGGUUGGGUAACACUAACUGGAGGACCGAACCGACUAAUGUUGAAAAAUUAGCGGAUGACUUGUGGCUGGGGGUGAAAGGCCAAUCAAACCGGGAGAUAGCUGGUUCUCCCCGAAAGCUAUUUAGGUAGCGCCUCGUGAAUUCAUCUCCGGGGGUAGAGCACUGUUUCGGCAAGGGGGUCAUCCCGACUUACCAACCCGAUGCAAACUGCGAAUACCGGAGAAUGUUAUCACGGGAGACACACGGCGGGUGCUAACGUCCGUCGUGAAGAGGGAAACAACCCAGACCGCCAGCUAAGGUCCCAAAGUCAUGGUUAAGUGGGAAACGAUGUGGGAAGGCCCAGACAGCCAGGAUGUUGGCUUAGAAGCAGCCAUCAUUUAAAGAAAGCGUAAUAGCUCACUGGUCGAGUCGGCCUGCGCGGAAGAUGUAACGGGGCUAAACCAUGCACCGAAGCUGCGGCAGCGACACUGUGUGUUGUUGGGUAGGGGAGCGUUCUGUAAGCCUGCGAAGGUGUGCUGUGAGGUAUGCUGGAGGUAUCAGAAGUGCGAAUGCUGACAUAAGUAACGAUAAAGCGGGUGAAAAGCCCGCUCGCCGGAAGACCAAGGGUUCCUGUCCAACGUUAAUCGGGGCAGGGUGAGUCGACCCCUAAGGCGAGGCCGAAAGGCGUAGUCGAUGGGAAACAGGUUAAUAUUCCUGUACUUGGUGUUACUGCGAAGGGGGGACGGAGAAGGCUAUGUUGGCCGGGCGACGGUUGUCCCGGUUUAAGCGUGUAGGCUGGUUUUCCAGGCAAAUCCGGAGAAUCAAGGCUGAGGCGUGAUGACGAGGCACUACGGUGCUGAAGCGACAAAUGCCCUGCUUCCAGGAAAAGCCUCUAAGCAUCAGGUAACAUCAAAUCGUACCCCAAACCGACACAGGUGGUCAGGUAGAGAAUACCAAGGCGCUUGAGAGAACUCGGGUGAAGGAACUAGGCAAAAUGGUGCCGUAACUUCGGGAGAAGGCACGCUGAUAUGUAGGUGAAGCGACUUGCUCGUGGAGCUGAAAUCAGUCGAAGAUACCAGCUGGCUGCAACUGUUUAUUAAAAACACAGCACUGUGCAAACACGAAAGUGGACGUAUACGGUGUGACGCCUGCCCGGUGCCGGAAGGUUAAUUGAUGGGGUCAGCGCAAGCGAAGCUCUUGAUCGAAGCCCCGGUAAACGGCGGCCGUAACUAUAACGGUCCUAAGGUAGCGAAAUUCCUUGUCGGGUAAGUUCCGACCUGCACGAAUGGCGUAAUGAUGGCCAGGCUGUCUCCACCCGAGACUCAGUGAAAUUGAACUCGCUGUGAAGAUGCAGUGUACCCGCGGCAAGACGGAAAGACCCCGUGAACCUUUACUAUAGCUUGACACUGAACACUGGUCCUUGAUGUGUAGGAUAGGUGGGAGGCUUUGAAGUGUGGACGCCAGUCUGCAUGGAGCCGUCCUUGAAAUACCACCCUUUAAUGGCUGGUGUUCUAACGUGGGCCCGUAAUCCGGGUUGCGGACAGUGUCUGGUGGGUAGUUUGACUGGGGCGGUCUCCUCCUAAAGAGUAACGGAGGAGCACGAAGGUUGGCUAAUCCUGGUCGGACAUCAGGAGGUUAGUGCAAUGGCAUAAGCCAGCUUGACUGCGAGCGUGACGGCGCGAGCAGGUGCGAAAGCAGGUCAUAGUGAUCCGGUGGUUCUGAAUGGAAGGGCCAUCGCUCAACGGAUAAAAGGUACUCCGGGGAUAACAGGCUGAUACCGCCCAAGAGUUCAUAUCGACGGCGGUGUUUGGCACCUCGAUGUCGGCUCAUCACAUCCUGGGGCUGAAGUAGGUCCCAAGGGUAUGGCUGUUCGCCAUUUAAAGUGGUACGCGAGCUGGGUUUAGAACGUCGUGAGACAGUUCGGUCCCUAUCUGCCGUGGGCGCUGGAGAACUGAGGGGGGCUGCUCCUAGUACGAGAGGACCGGAGUGGACGCAUCACUGGUGUUCGGGUUGUCAUGCCAAUGGCACUGCCCGGUAGCUAAAUGCGGAAGAGAUAAGUGCUGAAAGCAUCUAAGCACGAAACUUGCCCCGAGAUGAGUUCUCCCUGAGACUUAGAGUCUCCUGAAGGAACGUUGAAGACGACGACGUUGAUAGGCCGGGUGUGUAAGCGCAGCGAUGCGUUGAGCUAACCGGUACUAAUGAACCGUGAGG